AGAGUUUGAUCCUGGCUCAGAACGUACGCUGACGGAAUGGAUUAGGCAUGCAAGUCGUACGAGCGAACUCUUCGGAGUGAGCGAGUGGCGAACGGGUGAGUAAUGCGUGGAUGACCUACCCUGAUGAGGGGGAUAACCAUUCGAAAGGAUGGCUAAUACCGCAUACGGUCGCCAGGUUUUCCUGGUGAUCAAAGCUGGCUUAGGCUUCGGCUUAAGCUGGCGCUUCAGGAGGGGUCCACGUGCUAUUAGUUUGUUGGUGGGGUAACGGCCUACCAAGACUAUGAUGGCUAGCCGGCCUGAGAGGGUGUCCGGCCACACUGGGACUGAGACACUGCCCAGACUCCUACGGGAGGCUGCAGUCGAGAAUCUUCCACUAAUGCGCGAAAGCGUGAUGGAGCAAUUCCGUGUGAGCGAUGAAGGCCUUAGGGUUGUAAAGCUCUGUUGGAGGGGCGUAAUCCCCGGGAGAGAAUAUCUUUCCGGGUUGAACUCCCCUCGGAGGAAGCAGCGGCUAAAUUCGUGCCAGCAGCCGCGGUAAUACGAAUGCUGCAAGCGUAGUUCGGAAUCACUGGGCAUAAAGGGCACGUAGGCGGCCCGACAAGUCAGUUGUGAAAUCCCCCGGCUUA
rnacentral:rRNA from 1 species